AUAAAAUAUAAAACACAGAUUUUUUUUCUCUCGUUUUCUUCUUUUACCGAAUCUCUCUCUUUCCUCUCUCUCGACGAAACGGCGAAUCGAUUUCAUCGAUUUCUUGUUCCGGCAUAAAAAACACAACGAAACGCAAUCGAUGAAACGGUGAAUCCAGAUUCUCUUCAGUUUUAAUUGAUUUCAAUCAAUUCAAUCGAUUGCUUAUUCCGGGCACCCGAACAGAGACGGGGAAGAUGCAGGAGCUAACGAAGAUGAGGACACCAGAGCUCAGAUUGCUCGAUCUGUUGUUCAUGGGAGAUGUGAGUGUGGUUUCAAGAUCUGUAGAGAUUGUAUUUGUAUCACAAGCGGUGGAGGCAAUUGUCCUGGAUGUAACGAGCCUUGCAGGGACAUCAACGAUGAUGUUGCCGGUUUGUAAACGACAACGGAAAGCCUCUUGUCAAGCUUUGAAUCACCCAUCUGAGGAAGAGGUUUAGCCUCAUCUUUUUCAUCUUCUUCCGCCGGAUCUCUUCGUUGUUCUUUGCUGAGGAUCUUCUCUCUGUACAAAGCGUGGCAGGAGUAGCUCCGAGAUGGUUGCAGGACAACAGUUGUCUCUUGCUGGCUGCUGGUGCCGAAGUAUGUUGCAGGCUCUCUCGUUCAAUCUGUGUGCUCGCUUCUGGUGCAGAGGUAAACCAGGUAAGAAGAUGAAGAAGAACCCCUUGAGGUAUUCUUUCAAUCAUUUUUCACUCUUUAUUUGAGUUCAACAUACUUUUAUUUUUUUAACCAAUUCUCUUGUUAUUGCCUCAGGAUAAAAAGCAGUUUAUAUUUGUGUAUUUUCCCGGAUUUUGUAAUAUAUGUUUAAUAUUUCCAAAUUCUGUAAAAUAUGUUUGAACACGUGUCAUCAACAAAAAGAGAGACGCGAAGAAAAAAGCUUCAGUAGAAGAUUUGAUUUUUGAUCGUUUCUAACAAAGAUCAUCUGCGUAAUAAAGAAGAAGAGAUUUUUGUAUGAGAGCUUUGUGGGUAACAUGGGAGCAGCUUCGUCAUCGAUGGUGCCUAAUUCUUGGGAGGAUGAGAAGAUUUCCUAAGACUUUGAGGAAAGAAGUAUAGCUAAAUCUCCUUGUGGAUCCUCCUAUGUUUCCGCCACUACAGGAGAUGCGGUUGAUGACAUCGGACGUAUGGAUCAUUUGAAGAUGGAAACGGGAUCCCCCACCUUCGUGGAUAUAUUGACUGAGAUAUUGUCGGAAGUCAAGGAGUUGAAGCAUACUCAGAUGAAACAAGCUGAGAGGAUGAUUACUUUGGAGAUGGAGCUGCUUGAAUCAAGAAGGGAGAUACUUCGGCUAAAAGGGAGCAAUGGAAGUUUUUAAGCACAUGCAUGGUAAGCUCAAAUUACUAACAAACUCUUGGAGUUUGUAAUGCUUCUCUAGCUACUUUGUGUCUUUUGAACAUAUGUGAAGAAGAAAAAAAGGAAUAUGGAAAUGAUUUGACUCCCGAGUUUGAGAGUUACUCUAGAGGAAUACUCUUUCCUCUUUUAUUGCUAAUCCUUGACUUGGUAUGCUUCAGUUUCAGUAUGUCUUGCUGAAAAAUAGGCAUAUGAUAGAUUUUUACUCACUUCCAUUGCUCUUCGACAUAAAUAGGUUUGAUUUUAACUAUUACAUGAAACUUA